GGACCCGCACAAGCGGUGGAUGAUGUGGAUUAAUUCGAUGCAACGCGAAAAACCUUACCUAGCCUUGACAUGUCAGGAAUCUUUAAGAGAUUAGAGAGUGCCCGCAAGGGAACCUGAACACAGGUGCUGCAUGGCUGUCGUCAGCUCGUGUCGUGAGAUGUUGGGUUAAGUCCCGCAACGAGCGCAACCCUUGUCACUAGUUGCUACGCAAGAGCACUCUAGUGAGACUGCCGGUGACAAACCGGAGGAAGGUGGGGAUGACGUCAAGUCCUCAUGGCCCUUAUGGCUAGGGCUUCACACGUCAUACAAUGGUCGGAACAGAGGGCAGCGAAACCGCGAGGUGGAGCAAAUCCCAGAAAUCCGAUCGUAGUCCGGAUUGCAGUCUGCAACUCGACUGCAUGAAGUCGGAAUCGCUAGUAAUCGCGGAUCAGAAUGCCGCGGUGAAUACGUUCCCGGGUCUU
rnacentral:rRNA from 1 species